rnacentral:rRNA from 1 species
UACGUAGGUGGCAAGCGUUGUCCGGAAUUACUGGGCGUAAAGCGUGCGCAGGCGGUUUUGUAAGUCUGUCGUGAAAUCCCCGGGCUCAACCUGGGAAUUGCGAUGGAGACUGCAAGGCUAGAAUCUGGCAGAGGGGGGGUAGAAUUCCACGUGUAGCAGUGAAAUGCGUAGAGAUGUGGAGGAACACCGAUGGCGAAGGCAGCCCCCCUGGGUCAAGAUUGACGCUCAUGCACGAAAGCGUGGGGAGCAAACAGG